GGGCUAUGGUAAGAUUUAAUGUUUUUGGCGUUAGGGAUGAAAUCACUGUCCAAAACCUUUUUAGGAACAUGUUUCAGACCUUUUGAGGUUGGUUACACCAAAACAAAAUGUAAAAUGAAAAAAAAUUUUUUGGGGUGUUCGGGCUUCCUGAAGGUAAUACCCGGGUAUUCGGUUUUGGGGCUAGUGUAAGGUUUAAGGUUUUUUGCGUUAGGGUCUAAAUCACUGUCCAAAAACUUUUUAGGAACUCUUUUCCAACCUUUUGGAGUUAGUUAGACCAAAAAAAUAAGAACAAAGAAAAAAAAUAUUUGGGGUUUUCGGGCUUCCUGAAGGUAUUACCCGGGUAUUAGGUUAUGGGGCUUGGGUAGGUUUAAGGUUUUCUGUGUUGGGGUUAAAAUCACUGUCCAAAACCUUUGUAGGAACUCUUUUCAAACCUUUUGGAGUUAGUUAGACCAAAAAAAAAAUGAAAAAUGAAAAAAAAAUAUUUGGGGUUUUCGGGCUUCCUGAAGGUAUUAGGUUUUGGGGCUAGGGGAAGGUUUAAGGUUUUUGGCGUUAGGGUUAAAAUCACUGUCCAAAACCUUUGUAGGAACUCUUUUCCAACCUUUUGGAGAUGGUUAGACCAAAAAAAAAAAGAAAAAAGAAAAAAAAAUAUUUGGGGUUUUCGGGCUUCCUGAAGGUAAUACCCGUAUUAGGUUUUGGGGCUAAGGUUAGGUUUAACGUUUUUGGCGUUAGGGUCAAAAUCACUGUCCAAAACCUUUGUAGGAACUCUUUUCCAACCUUUUGGAGUUAGUUAGACCAAAAAAAAUGAAAAAUGAAAAAAAAAUAUUUGGGGUUUCGGGCUUCCUGAAGGUAAUACCCGGGUUUUGGUGCUAGGGGAAGGUUUAAGGUUUUUGGUGUUAGGGUUAAAAUCACUGUCCAAAACCUUUGUAGGAACUCUUUACCAACAUUUUGGAGUUAGUUAGACCAAAAAAUAAUGAAAAAUGCAAAAAAAUUAUUUGGGGUUUUCGGGCUUCGUGAAGGUAAUACCCGCGUAUUUGGUUUUGGGGCUUGGGUAAGGUUUAAUGUUUUUGGCGUUAGGGUUAAAAUCACUGUCCAAAACCUUUGUAGGAACUCUUUUCCAACCUUUUGGAUUUAGUUAGACCAAAAAAAAUGAAAAAUGAAAAAAAAAAUAUUUGGGGUUUUCAGGCUUCCUAAAAGUAAUACCCGGGUAUUAGAUUUUAAGGCUAGGGUAAGGUUUAAGGUUUUUGGCGUUAGGGUUAAAAUCACUGUCCAAAACCUUUGUAGGAACUCUUUUCCAACCUUUUGGAGUUAGUUAGACCAAAAAAAAUGAAAAAUGAAAAAAAAAAAUAUUUGGGGUGUUCGGGCUUCCUGAAGGUAAUACCCGGGUAUUAGGUUAUGGGGCUAUGGUAAGGUUUAAGGUUUUUGGCGUUAGGGUUAAAAUCACUGUCCAAAACCUUUGUAGGAACUCUUUUCCAACCUUUUGGAGUUAGUUAGAACAAAAAAAAAUGAAAAAUGAAAAAAAGAAAUUUGGGGUGUUCGGGCUUCCUGAAGGAAAUAAUUAGGUUAUGGGGCUAUGGUAAGGUUUAAGGUUUUUGGCGUUAGGGUUAAAAUCACUGUCCAAAACCUUUGUAGGAACUCUUUUCCAACCUUUUGGAGUUAGUUAGACCAAAAAAAAAUGAAAAAUGAAAAAAAAAAUAUUUGGGGUUUUCGGGCUUCCUGAAUGUAAUUACCCGGGUAUUAGAUUUUAAGGCCAGGGUAAGGUUUAAGUUUUUUGGCAUUAGGGUUAAAAUCACUGUCCAAAACCUUUGUAGGAACUCUUUUCCAACCUUUUUGAGUUGGUUACACCAACAAAAAUGUAAAAUAAACAAAAAAUAUUUGGGGUGUUCGGGCUUCCUGAAGGUAAUACCCGGGUAUUAGGUUAUGGGGCUAUGGUAAGGUUUAAGGUUUUUGGCGUUAGGGUUUAAAUCACUAUCCAAAACCUUUGUAGGAACUGUUUUCCAACCUUUUGGAGUUGGUUACUCAUACAAAAAUGUAAAAUGAAAAAAAAAAAAUAUUUGGGGUUUUCGGGCUUCCUGAAUGUAAUACCCGGGUAUUAGAUUUUAAGGCUAGGGUAAGGUUUAAGGUUUUUGGCGUUAGGGUUAAAAUCACUGUCCAAAACCUUUGUAGGAACUCUUUUCCAACCUUUUGGAGUUAGUAAGACCAAAAAAAAAAGUAAAAUGAAAAAAAAAUAUUUGGGGUGUUCAGGCUUCCUAAAAGUAAUACCCGGGUAUUAGGUUAUGGGGCUAUGGUAAGGUUUAACGUUUUGGCGUUAGGGUUAAAAUCACUGUCCAAAACCUUUGUAGGAACUCUUUUCCAAAGUUUUGGAGUCGGUUAGACAAAAAAUAAAUGUAAAAUGAAAAAAAUAUAUAUUUGGGGUUUUCGGGCUAUUUGAAAAUAAUAAUUGGUAUUAGGUUUUGGGGCUAGGUCAAGGUUUAAGGUUUUUGGCGUUAGGGUUAAAAUGACUGUCCAAAACCUUAGUAGGAACUCUUUUCCAACCUUUUGGAGUUGGUUACACCAACAAAAAUGUAAAAUGAAGAAAAAAAUAUUUGGGGUUUUCGGGCUUCCUGAAGGUAAUACCUGGGUAUUAGAUUUUAAGGCUAGGGUAAGGUUUAAGGUUUUUGGCGUUAGGGUUAAAAUCACUGUCCAAAACCUUUGUAGGAACUCUUUUCCAACCUUUUGGAGUUAGUUAGACCAAAAAAAAUGAAAAAUGAAAAAAAAAUAUUUGGGGUUUUCGGGCUUCCUGAAAGUAAUACCCGGGUAUUAGGUUUUGGGCUAGGGUAAGGUUUAAGGUUUUUGGCGUUAGGGUUAAAAUCACUGUCCAAAACCUUUGUAGGAACUCUUUUCCAACCUUUUGGAGUUAGUUAGACCAAAAAAAUAAGAAAAAUGAAAAAAAAAUAUUUGGGGUGUUCAGGCUUCCUAGAAGUAAUACCCGGGUAUUAGGUUGUGGGGCUAUGGUAAGGUUUAACGUUUUUGGCGUUAGGGUUAAAAUCACUGUCCAAAACCUUUGUAGGAACUCUUUUCCAACCUUUUGGAGUUAGUUAGACCAAAAAAAAAUGAAAAAUGAAAAAAAAAAUAUUUGGGGUUUUCGGGCUUCCUGAAUGUAAUACCCGGGUAUUAGAUUUUAAGGCUAGGGUAAGGUUUAAGUUUUUUGGCGUUAGGGUUAAAAUCACUGUCCAAAACCUUUGUAGGAACUCUUUUCCAACCUUUUGGAGUUGGUUUCACCAACAAAAAUGUAAAAUGAAAAAAAGAAUAUUUGGGGUUUUCCGGCUUCCUAAAUAUAAUACCCGGGUAUUAGAUUUUAAGGCUAGGGUAAGGUUUAAGUUUUUUGGUGUUAGGGUUGAAAUCACUGUCCAAAACCUUUGUAGGAACUCUUUUCCAAUUUUUUGGAGUUAGUUAGACCAAAAAAAAAAGAAAAAUAAAAAAAAAUAUUUCGGGUGGUCAGGCUUCCUCAAAGUAAUACCCGGGUAUUAGGUUUUGGGGUUAGGGAAAGGUCUAAGGUUUUUGGCGUUAGGGUUAAAAUCACUGUCCAAAACCUUUGUAGGAACUCUUUUCCAACCUUUUGGAGUUGGUUACACUAACAAAAAUGUAAAAUGAAAAAAAAAUAUUUGGUGUGUUCGGGCUUCCUGAAGGUAAUACCCGGGUAUUAGAUUUUAAGGCUAGGGUAAGGUUUAAGUUUUUUGGAGUUAGGGUUAAAAUCACUGUCCAAAACCUUUGUAGGAACUUUUUCCAACCUUUUGGAGUUGGUUACACCAACAAAAAUGUAAAAUGAAAAAAAAAUAUAUUUGGGGUGUUCGGGCUUCCUGAAGGUAAUACCCGGGUAUUAGGUUUUGGGGCUAGGGUAAGGUUUAAGGUUUUUGGCGUUAGGGUUAAAAUCACUGUCCAAAACCUUUGUAGGAACUCUUUUCCAACCUUUUGGAGUUAGUUAGACCAAAAAAAGAAUGAAAAAUGAAAAAAAAUAUUUGGGGUUUCCGGGCUUCCUUAAUUAAUACCGGUAUUAGAUUUUAAGGCCAGGGUAAGGUUUAAGUUUUUUGGCAUUAGGGUUAAAAUCACUGUCCGAAACCUUUGUAGGAACUCUUUUCCAACCUUUUGGAGUUAGUUAGACCAAAAAAAAAUGAAAAAUGAAAAAAAAAAUAUUUGGGUUUUACGGGCUUCCUGAAUGUAAUACCCAGGUAUUAGAUUUUAAGGCUAGGGUAAGGUUUAAGUUUUUUGGCGUUAGGUUUAAAAUCACUGUCCAAAACCUUUGUAGGAACUCUUUUCCAACCUUUUGGAUUUAGUUAGAACAAAAAAAAAUGAAAAAUGAAAAAAAAAAUAUUUGGGGUGUUCAGGCUUCCUGAAUG
rnacentral:lncRNA from 1 species